rnacentral:rRNA from 1 species
GAUGAACGCUGGCGGCGUGCCUAAUACAUGCAAGUCGAGCGAACAGACGAGGAGCUUGCUCCUCUGACGUUAGCGGCGGACGGGUGAGUAACACGUGGAUAACCUACCUAUAAGACUGGGAUAACUUCGGGAAACCGGAGCUAAUACCGGAUAAUAUAUUGAACCGCAUGGUUCAAUAGUGAAAGACGGUUUUGCUGUCACUUAUAGAUGGAUCCGCGCCGCAUUAGCUAGUUGGUAAGGUAACGGCUUACCAAGGCAACGAUGCGUAGCCGACCUGAGAGGGUGAUCGGCCACACUGGAACUGAGACACGCUCCAGGCUCCUACGGGAGGCAGCAGUAGGGAAUCUUCCGCAAUGGGCGAAAGCCUGACGGAGCAACGCCGCGUGAGUGAUGAAGGUCUUCGGAUCGUAAAACUCUGUUAUUAGGGAAGAACAAAUGUGUAAGUAACUGUGCACGUCUUGACGGUACCUGAUCAGAAAGCCACGGCUAACUACGUG